AGCAGCAGGUGAGCACCCCUGCUCUGGCACACACCCUGCCCAAGCUCUUCUUCAUCACAGGCCAGGAACAAUGGAGCCACUGAGCCAUGAGCUGAAACCCCUCAAAGCAGAAGCCCAGUGAAGCCGUCCACCUGUUCCUGUGAAACACCUGGGACACUGCUGAUGAAGCCUUCCUAUCUGGACUGGAAGCUGAAUCGGGGCUUUAUGUGUGAUAGGAGGCAUUCUACCAACUGAGAUACAUCCCAGGCCCUAAAGUUUUUCU